rnacentral:rRNA from 1 species
AUUGAACGCUGGCGGCAGGCCUAACACAUGCAAGUCGAACGAGCGGCGGACGGGUUGGUAAUUUCUGGGAAACUGCCUGAUGGAGGGGGAUAACUACUGGAAACGGUAGCUAAUACCGCAUACCAUCAGAUGUGCCCCGAUGGGAUUAGCUUGUAGGUGGGGUAACGGCUCACCUAGGCGACGAUCCCUAGCUGGUCUGAGAGGAUGACCAGCCACACCGGAACUGAGACACGGUCCAGACUCCUACGGGAGGCAGCAGUGGGGAAUAUUGCACAAUGGGCGCAAGCCUGAUGCAGCCAUGCCGCGUGUGUGAAGAAGGCCUUCGGGUUGUAAAGCACUUUCAGCGGGGAGGCGUUAACCGCAGAAGAAGCACCGGCUAACUCCGUGCCAGCAGCCGCGGUAAUUC